UAGAAUUCCACGUGUAGCGGUGAAAUGCGUAGAGAUGUGGAGGAAUACCGGUGGCGAAGGCGGCCUUCUGGACAGAUACUGACGCUGAGAUGCGAAAGCGUGGGGAGCAAACAGGAUUAGAUACCCUGGUAGUCCACGCUGUAAACGAUGUCGAUUUGGAGUUUGUUGCCUAGAGUGAUGGGCUCCGAAGCUAACGCGAUAAAUCGACCGCCUGGGGAGUACGGCCGCAAGGUUAAAACUCAAAUGAAUUGACGGGGGCCCGCACAAGCGGUGGAGCAUGUGGUUUAAUUCGAUGCAACGCGAAGAACCUUACCUGGUCUUGACAUCCACAGAAUCUUGCAGAGAUGCGAGAGUGCCUUCGGGAACUGUGAGACAGGUGCUGCAUGGCUGUCGUCAGCUCGUGUUGUGAAAUGUUGGGUUAAGUCCCGCAACGAGCGCAACCCUUAUCCUUUGUUGCCAUCGGUUAGGCCGGGAACUCAAAGGAGACUGCCGUUGAUAAAGCGGAGGAAGGUGGGGACGACGUCAAGUCAUCAUGGCCCUUACGACCAGGGCUACACACGUGCUACAAUGGCGUAUACAAAGGGAGGCGACCUCGCGAGAGCAAGCGGACCUCAUAAAGUACGUCUAAGUCCGGAUUGGAGUCUGCAACUCGACUCCACGAAGUCGGAAUCGCUAGUAAUCGUGAAUCAGAAUGU
rnacentral:rRNA from 1 species